GCGGCACGUCCACCACCGGGGCGAACCCUGACGUCACUUCCGGAACCUCCUCCCGUACCGGCGGUAACCAAGGCAACUGGUGCAGCGUUUUGAAUCUGCUCAUCGGGAAAGGAAUGGAGACUGCACACGGGGCAGCAGCUUAUAUACAACCCACGCUUUCUAAUCACCCUUCCACAUGGCAGCCUGACCCACAAUGCCCUACAUGCACAUCUGGAAGGAGGCUCACCCAUUGGAGGACAGCCAGCUCCACUCUUGUACCCACCAUCCGCAUCACUGAGCAGCACUGCGCCCGUAGCCCACCUUCUUGCCUCUCUGUGCCCUCAAGGCCUAUUCCUCAGCACCCAAACUGCAGGCUUUCAUCCUAGUGGCAUCAGUCACCAAUUUAUUGUGGCCAUCGGUCCCUAUCUCUUACCUUCCCCAACUCUCAGUCAGACUCAGUUCAAACCAGUGUUCCUAUCCCAUUCGUACAUCACAGCAGCUCUGCUUACAUGGGAUUUCCAAUGAGCCCUACAAAACCCAACCAGUAUCUGUACCUGUGAGAAUCCAAGAAUGGUUGUAGGAAGAUCAAAGAUUCAGACCUAUUUCAAAGAAAAAUUCCUUU